rnacentral:lncRNA from 1 species
CACUUGUACAGACGUUGCAGAAUAAUCGAAAGGGAGAGGAGAGAGAGAGCAUGGGGAAAGAUUGAGUGUGUGUGUCGGUGUGUGGUGCUCCUACAUGGUCUUUCAAUACACAAAGCAAACACUUUAAGUCUUAAGUGUUCCAAAAACUUAGGAAAAUCUUUGAAUUGGUCCAAAUAAAACUUAACCCACAUAACCACACAAAACGUCCAAGGGUAAAUAAGUAAUUUCACACAAUAAAAAAUAAAUGGGACGGGCUGUGACAAUUAAAAUAAUAAUAUAAUAAUUAUGAGAAAUAUAUAAAAUAAUAAAUAGUAAUUUUUACAAAAGUAAUUUUUGGAUUUGUAGUUCCGUAAAACCUCCGUUGUAAUUCCGAUUCCAAUUUCACUUGCGCCAACGCGUUCGUACCGUCGAGUACUUCAAGAAUACGGUAAAAUAGUAGCUCGUACGCAUCACGAAAUGACGGUCAAUGAAAGUCAACAAUCUCGCCACUAGGGCCAUUUUUUGUCAAUUCACUUUUAAAAUUAUUGAAGCCGGAAAAUUUGGGACAGGUUGUUACAAUCUACCCACCUUAAAAAAGUGUUGUCUUUGAAAUUUGAAAUCACUUGUUAUACAUAAAAUACUCAAAAAAGAUAGGAAACAAAAUAUAUGUAUAUUUAAGGAAAAAAUCAAGUUAGAGCGGUUACAUAAAAGAGAACAUCAUUCCGUUGCGAUCGGAUUGCAAUGAUUCCUCUUGUUGAAAAUGUGCCCUAAAGUCAAUCAUAAGUUGAUACUUUACGGACAUUUCACAUGUUAAACUAAUCUAGUUUAAUAUAAAGGGCAAAGAUUAUUAUUUAACGUUGUCUCAUAUAAAUGUUAUAUGCUUAAACGAUAAGUCCAAGGAAUAUGUAAUUGGGAGAAUGUGUAGAUUCAUGAGACCAUUCUCUUUCGUAUACAUAUCCUAAACAUUCUUGAUCAUAGGAUUGCCAAUUGGGCAUUGACAGUCCAUUAAGAUCAGUACGUGCUAUGUCUUAUCUUAGAGAGAAUGACUAGUCUCGAGUCAUUGGUGUGACUGACACUAAGACAAGCAUGUAGGUGCUCAAUAGAGAAUGAGUCCACUGAACACGAUCAACAAGGACUUCUCAUAGUCAUGUCACAUGAGAACUCAUGAUUGGAUAAUGCAAAGUAGUCAUUUGACCUGAGGCAUCAUAGUUGUCUUGUGGUUAGGUCUUUGAUCUUUGACUAUGUCAAAGUCACUCCGUCAAAGGGUGUCCACGGUAUAGUUGGAGUUAAGCCACUUAGUCAUGGAGGUAAGUGAAUGCACAACAAGGGAUCUCUAACCUUCAAACCAUUUGAGGGAGAAUACUUUAUAAUAUGAUUAAGAAUCUCUGGCUAGAGUAUGAAUGAGAUUUAGGAAGUCAUUCCAAAUCACAUUCAAGAUAAUCAUAUAAGUAAAAGAAUCACAUUGGAUAGUAGACAUGAAUAAACUAUCAAACCAAACAAUAUGGUCAAGAGUAUUGUAUUAGAAAAAUACCGUAUUGCAUUGUAAUCCUAAACUGAAUAGGUUCUCCACCUCUUCUGAUUAGCUUGGGUAGCCAUGAUAUACUGCUAGGUGUCACUCAUGGUUUGUGGAAGCCCUAAAGGUGUAUAAUCAGUAAAGGGAGAAUUGAAAGUAUGUUUCAACUGACAAUCGAUUUAAAGAGUUCUAAUCGUCCUUUGCCUCGCUAAAAGGAACCUAAUGGAUUGUACACCAUGAAGGAUUAUUUUGUGAAAACAUGUUCAUUUGAAUAACAUCUAUAGCAUGCAUUUAACAAUUAA